ACAUUGGGUAUCGGUUUGUGAGUGAGGGGACUCAAGAUAGCUACUUCCUUGUCCUAUCUGAUAUUCUGCUUCACAGUUCAGUCCAGCUCUCUAAGAUCCCACUUAAAUGUGUAAUACCCUGGUUCCUGCCUGUCUGACUUACUCAAGUACUCAGAUUUCUUUGGCAUGUAAGCUAGUUUUUCCUGGACAAGGAAGUUUAUGUUACUUACCACUUCAGUUAGGCAAAGAUAUGACAUUACUUGGCCAGAGGGAAUGAGGAGAGCUGGGGCAGAUCUAGAAAAAAAACAGAUACUGUCAUCAGAGGCAGCAGUGUCAUCUGAAGCCAUUGCACGAUUUCUAGUCAGGAACAUGAUGAUCAGGGAGGAGGUGAGGCUACUCCUAUUGAGGCAUAAGAUAUAAAGAAUUUCGGGGUUCAAGAUUUUCAUGCUUAUCUAAUAAAUAUUCAUUCCCAUCUUGGAUAUCUUCAUUUUCUCCUUUUUCUAUCAAGGAUCUGAAUUUGACAAAUGACUUACUGAAACUUACUGAAAUUAGUCCCCUGUGCAGUUUUGUUGUGACUUUAAUAUCUUGGUCUGAUUUGCAGCAUAUUCAGUACUUCAAAAGAUGAGAAUCUCCUUAAAAAGCUUAAAUCCCCUCUGGCUUUUAGAUCAUACCCUCAUAUAGCAGUUGGCUUCCAUGAGCCUUCUUUGUUCCCUAACCCCAUUAUUUCCAAUUCCAUUAAUAGAAACCAGCCUACCCUACAAUUCUUAAGAUUGAUGAUAAUCUUAAUGAUUAUGUAGCCAUUACCUGUAAGCUGUAAUCACCGCCCCAGUAGUGAGGUCCAUUAUUGUCAGCUUGGGUGUAAAUGAGCUGAGGGUUGGCUCAGUCUUGUCUAUCAUCUGUUGAACACUCAAUGGUAAAUCAUGUAUGUGUAAAGGAAGAGAAGAAUGGAUGUAUGAUUUGGAAAUUAUGCACAGUUGUCAUUGGAUUUUUGGCUUUUGUACUAUCAUAGAUUGGAAAGCAUCAGGAUGCUUUGGAGAAGCUUAAAACUUUUCAGUUCAUACAAGGUCCAGGCUCUGUAGACUGCUUACUUCUAUAUUAUAUGACCUGCUCCAUAUUAGUAGGAAAAAAAUGACUGUUUUGUAUAAACCAGACCAAAUUGUUGGUACCCACUACUGGCUCUUUAACAUCUCUGUUGGAAUGCAUGUGGCUUCAUGUUUCCAUGCCAUUAAUCCAUCUCCAGUAGCCCGUGACAGGAACCAGAAUCCAUAGUGGAGAACAUAUUGGGCCCCAUCUGCACCAAAACCAGUCUCAGUACUGGAAAGACAUGCCUUGAAGGCAGCCAUGAUAAUUCUGAAAGCUCUACACAUACCUCACAUUCCUUCCAGGGAGAUUCAAGAGAGCUCUGGAAUACAUGCCAAGGAAGAGGGUGUUCACACAAUACUGGACCCUUCACUUGAGUUGAAAUCCCCUGAGAAUCCCAAAAGGGGAGUUGCUAAGUCCAGUCAUUUUUCUGGUGAAAUUACGUGGAACUAAUCUAAGUUAUUCCUUGACUUCUUUCACUUUAAUUUGUUUUCCCGAUCACUAACCUCUUGGCUCUGUGAUUUAUGACCGUUAUUCUCUGGUCCUUUUAGAUAGAUCGUGCCCAGCAGGUGAAGCUCCGGUCUUUGCUCUCAGAUUUCCAGUCUGCUCCUCAUAUUGAUCCUGGCAGUCCGGCUCAUUUCAGUACAUGAUCUCCUAAGAAGACCAAAAGACCAGUAGUUUUGACAUGCAACAUCGGUACAGCUCAGAUAUGACGUUACUCUCCAGAACACACCAGAGGCAUUUCAAGUAUAACUUUAUCUAAAGACCUUUGACUGCAUUCGUGAGUUUUUGGGCUUAGAAAGAAUGAACCCAGAGAAAGCUGUGGCUCAAAGAUUUUGCCAAUGAGGCUGAUACUAUUUUUAAUUACUAGAGGUCUGUAAACUUAAAAAAAAAAAAAGAAUUCCAAGAGAAGAAUGGGAUGAAGAUGGAGCAAUCUUACCUUUGGAAGUGGCCCAUUUUGCUCUGGAGGCACUGUGUAUGUCAUUAACCACAUACUAUAAAACAUGGUAUUUCCCGUAGACACCACAGUUCCCAGAAGCAUGUGUAUACCACUCUCUUCAGCCCUUUUUCAGCGUAUAAAUAUGUUAUUUUAUAAUGACAAGUCAUUAAAUUUUUCAGCCUUUGGAA